CAACAUUGCAAACUGAUUGAUAAUGUCCAUUUUACAUGUAGUUUGGCAACAUUCCCAUUGUCUACUACAACAAACCCUCUUUUCUGUUUCUCAGUUUUUGUGAAUGUUCCUCCAGUUCAUUAACUCAUGCCUGUUUUCAUCCUGAGGGUCCAGUUCUAAAAUGACCUAGGAACCCACGGUGCUUUAUGCCAGUGCCUUAGAUCCUUAGAUCCUGUACUGUCAAAACAGUGUUAAUUUAUCUUUUCCUGGGAUGCGCUGUUUGUUCUUCUAGAAAAAAGAACUCGUAGAGGCUGAGCAGAAUGGAGAUGCACACACAGCAGAGCUGGAAGAAGACGAUCCAGGCAAGAAGGCAGAGACAGAUGCUCAAGAAGAGAACGCCGAAGAGGAGGAACCGGCAGAAGAAGACGAAGAGAGUAGAGAGGUAGCUGAGGAGGAAGAGCAGGAGGAAGGAGAAGAGGACAGGGUUGAGGACAACCAUCUGGUCUCAGAGGUGAUUCUUAUUCUAGAAUGAACAGAUCUGGAGUGUGUUUAACUCUACUAUUCUCUCCCAUCCAUUCCUUCUCAUCUUCCUGACAACAUUUCCAUUAUUAUUAUUAUUAUUUAUUUUUGC